GGGUGAUUAGCUUCAGUUGGUAGAGCAGUUGACUUUUAAUCAAUUGGUCGCAGGUUCGAAUCCUGCACGACCCACCA
rnacentral:tRNA from 1 species